CAGCAUGUUUCCAAGGGCUGUGGCCGGCUGUGGCCAUGGGAUCUCCAACUGCAUGCCAGAGCAACCUGGAGAGACUUUGACAGCACAGGUCAGCACAGUACCUGCGGCUGCCACUCGCCUUUCCUAUAACA
rnacentral:snoRNA from 1 species